rnacentral:rRNA from 1 species
AUUGAACGCUGGCGGCAUGCUUUACACAUGCAAGUCGAACGGUAACAGGUUAAGCUGACGAGUGGCGAACGGGUGAGUAAUGCAUCGGAACGUGCCCGAUCGUGGGGGAUAACGCAGCGAAAGCUGCGCUAAUACCGCAUACGAUCCGAGGAUGAAAGCGGGGGACCGUAAGGCCCCGCGGGAUCGGAGCGGCCGAUGUCGGAUUAGGUAGUUGGUGGGGUAAAGGCCCACCAAGCCGACGAUUUGUAGUUGGUCUGAGAGGACGACAAGCCACACUGGGACUGAGACACGGCCCAGACUCCUACGGGAGGCAGCAGUGGGGAAUUUUGGACAAUGGGCGAAAGCCUGAGCCAGCAAUGCCGCGUGCAGGAAGAAGGCCUUCGGGUUGUAAACUGCUUUUGUACGGAGCGAAAAGGUCCUUUCUAAUACAAGGGGCUCAUGACGGUACCGUAAGAAUAAGCACCGGCUAACUACGUGCCAGCCGCCGCCGUAA